ensembl:lncRNA
ACGCAUGGGAGAGGGGAACCCUUUACUACCAUGGCAUACAAGAUGAGGCUUCUUUAAAAAAUAAGUCGACAAGGUUAAUCAUCAACACAUUAUGCUACUUCCAGAAAUUCUGAUUAAGUGGUCGGAUAGUUUGUUAGGUAUUUCUGAAAGUACUGAAAAAUGGAUUUGUCUCGGCAUAUGAGAUUGGUCAAUCUAGUGGAUCAACGAGAAGAGCAAAAUUUUUAGAUGGAAAGCUGAGCGAUUGCACGAGGUAUGAAAGACUGGGAAUACUGAGAUUCUAACACCUGUCCAGCACUAUAACAAAUCUGCUCAAAUCUGUUAAAAGCUUUUACUCCCAACACAGAUGGAGAACUCUGGUUUAUUGAAGAGGCCGGCCUCUGCUGAACCUCCUCACGGAAUGAUGUGGUUCACUGUCUCCUACUCCUCUGGAUGCCCGGGUUCUCCUUUGAUCAGAUAUGCCUUGCCGCUGCAGCCCAUUUGUCUUUUCUUGGAGGAGCCACACAAGACUCUCAUUUAUUCCCUCGCAAUCAGCUAUUGCCAUCGCACAGAGAUGUACAGCGUGUAACAGCAUUACUACACCAGAAGCAUCGUAUGCUCAGGCCCGGGCCAGACCGGGCUAGGGACUGGACUGGCAGGCUUGUCUGUGACACAGUUGAUCAGUAGAUGGUGUUUCUGACGAAAACAAAGGUGAAGAGAUUGAGGCUCUGAGAGACUAAAUAAAGAUACUAAUCCAACAGCUCAUAAAGUGCAGAGCUGAAGUUCUGACUGAUUUCCACAUAUUUCUACUAUGACAUCAACUGGAGAUGGAAGAGAUCACUUCUCUGUAACCAUGGAGGUGCCGAUGCUUGAUGGUGCCCACGUUACUGACUCCUGAUUGCUAGAUCAGAGACAAGGUACUUGGACUGGUUCUGGCAGAUCCGGCAUCUCCUGACGUCCUUAAAAAGGAACGAGGAUAUUUGCUGCUCUAACUAACAGAUUCCCAAGCUUUACUAGCAGUUCUCAGAAAUCUUUCGGCAGCAGUAAGAAUGACUUUGAACUAGUCAUUUCAGA